UACGGGGGGAGCAAGCGUUGUUCGGAUUUACUGGGCGUAAAGGGCGCGUAGGCGGUCGUGACAGGUCACUUGUGAAAUCUCCGGGCUUAACUCGGAACGGUCAAGUGAUACUGUCGGACUAGAGUACAGAAGGGGCAACUGGAAUUCUCGGUGUAGCGGUGAAAUGCGUAGAUAUCGAGAGGAACACCUGCGGCGAAGGCGGGUUGCUGGGCUGACACUGACGCUGAGGCGCGAAAGCUAGGGGAGCGAACGGG
rnacentral:rRNA from 1 species